AAAUAAAUAAGAAAUGAAAAAAUAUUUUAAAAUAAUAUAUUAAUUAGUUAUAUUAUCUUUACUCUUAAAUUGUUUAAAAAAAAUUUUUUUUUAAAUUAAAAUUUAAAAAGAAAAAGAACAAAUAAGAUGUAAAUUAAAUGGAGAAUAUUCUAAAAAAAAAAAAAAAAGAAAGAAAAAAAAAGAAAAAGAAUUACAUUAUAUAAAUAUUGUUGUACUAUCCAUGUUUGAUCAUCUGUUUGUUCACAUUUCAAUGUACCAGAAGUACAUUCACCAGAGCUAUCUCGUUUAGAAACUGGAGUCGACGACCAUCUACGAUGCCUGGCUUUUUCUACAGGUAUCUCAGGUGGUAUAUCAUUCGGAUCAAUCUCUGAUUGUUUGGGUCUUCUAUAAAUAAUACCGUCAUGAGAUUUAUUGAAAUCUUGAGAUUUAUUACGUGGAGGAGUACAGUGUGUCGGAUCAUUUCUACGAAGCAUUGACCAGGUAAAUUCACGAUAGCUUGUGGUACAUGGUGAGAUCUGUGUGACUGAUUUCGCCUCAUGAAAUGAGAGGAAGA